GUAACUUCGAAGAAGAGGUGGGGGUCACCCAGGGGAGAAGAGAGAGGGUGUGUCACUACCCAGGCAACCUGUAUGAAGAAGGCAUUGUGCUAGGCUCUAAGGACAUAAAUGUGAAAGUGAGACACUGCUGACCUCAGGGAACUUCCAUUCUACUAUCUACGGAACAAAAUGUUCACAGGCAAAUAAAUAAUGCAUGAAAGGGAGAAAUGUGUAAGAAGAUCGGAAAGUCUGGAAGGAGUCAGAUUGUGAAGAGUUUAAAUUCCAAAGAGAAGAGACGACAUUUGAUUCAAGAAAUCAUAGGAAGCCACUGGAGUUUGUUGAAAAAGGGUGUGACGCUAUCAGACUUGAACUUUAGGAAAAUCACCUUGUUAGCUAUGGAGAGCAUAAAUUGGAAUGGGAAGCCAUUUGAGUCAAGGAGGCAGGAGACUAUUGCAAUGGUCCAAGUGAGAGGCGGUGAAGUAUAAUCUAGGAUAGGAAUCAUACUAGGAGAGAAGGGAAUAUAUAGAAAUGACCUGAAGGUAGACAUGACAAGAUUUGGCAGCUGAUUGGAUAUGAAUUGUUAAUAUAAAAUUAACAAGUUGAAAACUUAGGUCACUUGGUUCUUAAGAUCAUGGAAUAACUCUAGUGUUACGAAAAAUCUUAGCACAUUCCAUCAGGUUGGUGAAAACUUUGGUUAGAACAGAAAUCCUUGGGGCACAUAUGUUAAGUAAUGGAUUUGUGAUCUCAUCAAGGCUGGUACUUCCUCCAGGGAGGUAAAUCACAGCAUUUAUGCCUGCCUAUCUUGCGCUACUUUUAUCCACAUCAGUCCUCCGGAAUGGGUCCAUCCAACCAACCAAGGAGCCUUCCUCUAGGCCUCUUGACAUUGCAUAGAUUCCAGUGGUGUACUUGGGCUAUCCACCUCUUAUCUUUCACUCUCUUCAUUUCCCACCCAGACAUACUUUUAUUUCAUCAUGUGGCCAGGAACUUCAUCAUUCAGCAAAGAUCACCUCACCUUUAGUAUUCAUGCCUCAUCACUAUCUUUUGAUUAGAGGGUGGAAUGGGGAGCUCCUCCCCAAACUUCCUUUCAAGAAGGGCUCCAAGGCUCUCCCCAAGAAGCCAGCCAUACUCCUUUGGAUUUCUCCAUCAUAUCCUUUCAUGUACUGUCUUCCCCCAUUAGAUUGUAAGCACCUUGAGGGCAAGGACUGUCUUUCUUUUUCAUGUUUGUUUCCCCAAUGCUUGGC